rnacentral:ncRNA from 1 species
CGACCCCAGGUCAGGCGGGACUACCCGCUGAGUUUAAGCUGAUAAAUAAGCGGAGGAGAAGAAACUUACAAGGAUUCCCCUAGUAACGGCGAGCGAACCGGGAACAGCCCAGCUUGAGAAUCGGGCGGCUGUGCCGUCCGAAUUGUAGUCUGGAGACGCGUCCUCAGCGACGGACCG